rnacentral:lncRNA from 1 species
AUUCAGGAGAGGUAGAGAGAGGCUGCAGGCCAGGGUAGUGUGAGAUCCUAAAGGACUGAGAAUGUCCCACUGUGGCUCUCCCAUGCCCUUGUCCCGGGAAUUGUUCCUUAUGCUAAUAGAGUGUGGAUUGAUUUUCUUCCACAACAGCCAGGUAAGGGUGUGCAGGGUUUACACAGCACAAGGACACCUGGCCACGGGGCCAAAUGGGGAUGGAAUCCCAACCACCCUCCACGUCCUAAGCUAUAUGCUUGGAUGGGGUUACCCAGACAGCAAAAGGGGCACUGUUUUCUAAUACACACAAAGAUAAAGUGUGGGCUAGAGGCCUGCCCUAACAUUUGCAGAGCCUGGGGCAAGAAUGCAAAUUAAUCAAUCUAUUAUUUAAAAGUUAUAAAAUAAGCCUAAAACUAUUAACUAAAAUAUAUUUUAUCCUUCAGCCAAGACAAAUAGAUCUUUAUAAUAACAUGAAGCCCAUGUUCUAAUUUAGAAUUCUCAAAAGGGGAGCUUACCCCUAGCCCAUGCCCAACCCCCUUCCCUUCCCUUCCCCAGCAAUGUCCUUGCCCACAAGGACCAUUAUGCAUCCCCAUCUGGACACAGCAGGGCACCCAGCUCAGAAGCCCAGGUCCUCUUCCAAAUCCCUUGAAUGCAAAUAUCCUGUGUUGCCCCUGGACCUAGGGGUGCACACACUGGCUGUGUAUCCCUCGGUGGCCCCCGGGCUUAGGGGUGGGUGCACAUGCUGGUUAUAUAUCCCUUGGUGGUCCCUAGGCUUUGAGGUGCACGCACUGGCAGCAUAUCCUGGGCCUAGGGGUACACACGCUGGCUGUACAAUCCAUACUUGGGAGAACAAAUCUGAGGAAAGACCCAUGUAGGCCCCAGACCUGGCUAGUGGUGUUUUGACAGGGAAUUCCAGAUGCUCAGGGUAAGGACUAGACUGAGGAAUGCAGGCUCCUGGUAGCCGUAUGCCCUUGACUUGUUGGGCUCCUUGCCCAUGGGCAUGGGCAUGGUCCUAGAAAGUGCUGGACUCCUCUAGCACAGGCCUAGGCGUGAGAUUGCUGUACUGGUAGCAGCCGUAAGUGUUAAGUUCCACAGCUGGGUAGGUGGGGAGAAUGAGGUGGCAAGCGUGGGCCUUCAUCUAGCAAUCCCUUGUCUGCCCAAGGCCAGGUGAUGACAUUCAGUGGCUCAUGUCUGCUGCUCUGUCCAGCUCUUUGAUGUCAGGUGCCAUGUCAUUUUUGUACUCUUGGUAGCAACUAUUAAAGCACUAUCCUUCAAGGCAUAAGUGUUCAAGGGGCAGUUCUAAAAUGUGUCGUGAUACACAUCAUGAAAAUAACACUGGACUUGGAAUCAGGACGCGUGGGUUCUCUCUCUGCUCUGCCACAGCUCACUCAGCUUAGGCUUAUCAUGUUUCCUCCCCAGGCCUUAUAUUUUCCCGUCUAGAAAAUAAGGGUGUUGGUGGCCGGGCUGUGUGGCUCACGCCUGUAAUCUUUGGGAGACCGAGGCGGGUGGAUCACCUGAGGUCUGGAGUUCGAGACCAGCCUGACCAAGAUGGAGAAACUCCAUCUCUACUAAAAAUACAAAAUUAGCUGGGCGUGGUGGUGCAUGCCUGUAAUCCCAGCUACUUGGGAGGCUGAGGCAGGAGAAUCGCUUGAACCCAGGAGGCAGAGGUGUGGUGAGCCGAGAUAGUGCCAUUGCACUCCAGCCUGGGCAACAAGAGCAAACUCUGUCUCAGAAAAAAAAAAAAAAAAAAAAAAGAAAAAAGAAAAGAAAAGAAACGAAAAGAAAAGAAAAGGGUGUUGGGCCGACAGUUUCCAAAGUUCCAUUCGGAUCUGAAGGUCUGUGGUUUAUGACUCCUGCAAGCUAGUUUUCCUUAUCUGUCCAUCUUUCUCAACCCUAGGUACUCAGUACAAUGACCCAGGAAGUUUUACCAAAAAAUACCAGAGCCCAGGCCCUACCCCCAGAGAUUCUGCUUCAGUUCUUCUGAGGCGUGGCCCAAGCCAAAGCUCCCCAGUGACUCCGAAGUGCAGCCGCGGCUGAGAAGCACUGUUAGAGUUGGACGGCAGCUCUUGACUCCUCCCACUCCUCACCCACAUCCAGGGACAAUGGAGCCGGACAGAUGCCUGGCUGCAAAAGCAGAACAGCUGUAGAUGAGGAAACCAAGAAAAGAUAUGUUAACAUUUAAUCCAAGAUCACACAGCUGCGAAGAUUCAAAGUCAGGCAGCCUGGUGCCAAAACGUGAGCUCUUUAACACGUUGCUAUUCUGCCUGCUGUUGGUGAUUGAUCACAGGUGAAGGCCUGUUCCAAUAAAUGAGGUCUCUCAGCCCUGACAUUCUAACAGUGGUGUUGCUUGUAGAGACACACAUUUUAUACUUUGAGUUUUUUUUGUUGUUGUUGUUUAGAUCAGAGUUUAUCUUGGACAAUAUUGGCUGAGUUCAUAAGCCAAAGUCAGAAGCACCUGUCAUCAUCCUGUGGGGCUCUGCUUCUGGGUGGACUGUAGGAGAAGUCCUGAGAGGAGAAUGGUCUGGGCAGCAUUGCCAGAACUGGGCUACAAAACAAGAUUGUAAAACCACUGAACAAGAGAACCCCCGAUGGUGGUGCAGAAUGUGUGGGGCCUGCACCCUCCAGCUUGCAAAGGCUUCUGUUCCCUGGACACCUGAGGCCUUCGCCCAACAGUAGUGUUGGGUUGGGUUGAAAUAUCCACAUGCCGGCCGAGCGCAGUGGCUCAUGCCUGUAAUCCCAGCACUUUGGGAGGCCAAGGUGGGCGGAUCACGAGAUAAGGAUAUCGAGACCAUCCUGGCUAACAAGGUGAAACCCCGUCUGUAGUAAAAAUACAAAAAAUGAGCCGGGCGUGGUGGCAGGCACCUGUAGUCCCAGCUACUCGGGAGGCUGAGGCAGGAGAACGGCGUGAACCUGGGAGGUGGAGCUUGCAGUGAGCCGAGAUUGAGCCACUGCACUCCAGCCUGGGUGACAGAGUGAGACUCCAUCUCAAAAAAAAAAAAAACAAAAAAAAAAACAAAACGGAAAUAUCAACAUGCCAUUGCUUUCAGUGAUGGCACAGGUCCUGCCUUUCUAAGAUGGUGAGAGGCUCGGGGGCAGGGAGGGGCAGAAUACAGCUUGUAACCUGAUGUCCAUAAAGCUUUUUGGUCCUGGGGUGUUUUUUGCUGAGCAUACUGACCGAAUAUGUGCAUGACUGUAGGGAUGGGGCAUCUAUGAGACGGAAGUAACCAUGAGAACAGCUAUUAAACAAAUGAAAACAGGUCGGCCAUUCACUGCAGAGUUCAACUGAUGCCUUCCCGGAAAUCUCAUUUGAACCCCCAACUUGCUUUUAUGAGUUUAAUCCUCUUCAUCCCCUCUCCUUAGCCAAGUUUCAUUCCCAUUUGUUUAAUUACCAGUUGUAUGAACAAGUCCUUCCAUUUUCUCUUACUAGGUUUUACAUUUUCAUUCAUUGACACAUUAUAAAAAUUAAAGUUCUUUACUAGAGAGAGGUGAAUUCUGCUUCAGAAGAGUGAGUUUUUAUGGGGUGUCAAAAUUUAAUGUGGAUAAGAAUGCACCAUGGAAUCACCAGGGUGUCUGGUUAAAAUGCCGAUGUGGCUUCCAUCGGUCUGGGAGGUGGCCUAGGAUUUUACGUUUCCAAGAAGCUUCCAGGUGAUGACAAUGUUCCUGGUCCACAGACCACACGUCGAGGUGCAAGGUUGUAGAGAGCCUGUGAGACAAACCACAUUAACCUGAAGACUAGAGACCAAAUAGCCAUUCAAGCAAUGCAUCUACACUCUAAACAGCCCUAUGGGCAGGUAAGUACUGCAGCCUCAUCCCCGUGGGGAGCCUGGACCAGCCUCACUCGGCUUCUCUUUCAAAUGAG